AUACGUAGGGUGCAAGCGUUAAUCGGAAUUACUGGGCGUAAAGCGUGCGCAGGCGGUUUUGUAAGACAGAGGGGAAAUCCCCGGGCUCAACCUGGGAACUGCCUUUGUGACUGCAAGGCUAGAGUACGGCAGCGGGGGGUGGAAUUCCGCGUGUAGCCGUGAAAUGCGUAGAUAUGCGGAGGAACACCGAUGGCGAAGGCAAUCCCCUGGGCCUGUACUGACGCUCAUGCACGAAAGCGUGGGGAGCAAACAGGAUUAGAUACCCUGGUAGUCCACGCCCUAAACGAUGUCAACUGGUUGUUGGGUCUUCAUUGACUCAGUAACGAAGCUAACGCGUGAAGUUGACCGCCUGGGGAGUACGGCCGCAAGGUUGAAACUCAAAUGAAUUGACGGGG
rnacentral:rRNA from 1 species